rnacentral:tRNA from 1 species
UGCAAGAUGGCCGAAAGUAGGUGUUGGUUUGUAAAACCAGUUAUGUGGCUUGAUUAGUUACUCUUGCAA